rnacentral:rRNA from 1 species
UCGGGAAUUUUGGGCAAUGGGCGAAAGCCUGACCCAGCAACGCCGCGUGAAGGAUGAAGUAUUUCGGUAUGUAAACUUCGAAAGAAUAGGAAGAAUAAAUGACGGUACUAUUUAUAAGGUCCGGCUAACUACGUGCCAGCAGCCGCGGUAAUACGUAGGGACCAAGCGUUGUUCGGAUUUACUGGGCGUAAAGGGCGCGUAGGCGGCAUGACAAGUCACUUGUGAAAUCUCUGGGCUUAACCCAGAACGGCCAAGUGAUACUGUCGCGCUAGAGUGCAGAAGGGGCAAUCGGAAUUCUUGGUGUAGCGGUGAAAUGCGUAGAUAUCAAGAGGAACACCUGAGGUGAAGACGGGUUGCUGGGCUGACACUGACGCUGAGGCGCGAAAGCCAGGGGAGCAACGGGAUUAGAUACCCACGUAGUCCCUGAGCGGGCUGGCAAGGCGCAU